GAUGAACGCUGGCGGCGUGCCUAACACAUGCAAGUCGAGCGAAGCGCCUUACUUGAUUUCUUCGGGAUGAAAGUAUUGUGACUGAGCGGCGACGGGUGAGUAACGCGUGGAUAACCUGCCUUAUACAGGGGGAUAACAGUUAGAAAUGGCUGCUAAUACCGCAUAAGCGCACAGGACCGCAUGGUCUGGUGUGAAAAACUCCGGUGGUAUGAGAUGGAUCCGCGUCUGAUUAGCUAGUUGGUAAGGUAACGGCUUACCAAGGCAACGAUCAGUAGCCGACCUGAGAGGGUGACCGGCCACAUUGGGACUGAGACACGGCCCAA
rnacentral:rRNA from 1 species